rnacentral:lncRNA from 1 species
CCUACACUCCCAGUCCUUUUUAUUUUUUGAGACAAGGCCUUGCCAAAUUCUUGAGGCUGGCCUCAAAUCCCUAGUCGCUGGGAAACCCGAGGGCCACCAUGCCUGCCUGGGGCUUUUCUUUUAAAGGAAACUUUAUGAAGGGUAGACGUGGUAAGGUUAUGUGGGACCCUUGUCAGCCUGGUGAACAGAGUUCUUUGAUCAUAAAUCACAAGCUGUUUAUGGUUAUCUGGUCUGUAUCCAGGAUUUUCAGCUUGGCAUUAUCUCUUCUAUCUAAUCAAUCUUUGGAAUGUGUCUAAAUUAUGUACACUAACAGUGCACAUAUUUAAUCAAAUGAGGCAAUUUUCAUAGAUGGGUGAAUUUAUAGUAACUCUUUUUAAAAAGAUUUUGUAGAUUUCUUAGAAAUCUGGGAAUGACAGGCCUGGGAGUGAUAUCUGGAGAGAAGGUCCAAGCUUGGGGCUUUUAGAGUUACAGCUAUAGGCUUUUUUCCGGCUUUUUUCCUUCCUUUUUGUCUCCUUUUUACCUAUCUUUAUUCCUUCUAUCCUACUUCAAGGGGAACCUCGUGAUCUUGGGGAAGUGGACAGAAGAUAUAAAAUCCAGAGGAAACCAUUGAUUUUAAGCAGUAGGUGAAGGGAAAACCAUACCAUUUGAUUAAACUAUUUUAAAACAAUUGCAAAUUAAAAUGCAAUUGUAAGAAGAAAUACAGGGAGAUCCUGUGUACUUUCCCCUAAUGAUAACAUCUUGCAGUAUUGCAGAUUACAUAUUACAAUUACAUAUUACAACCAGUAUAUUAACAAUUGCUACAGUCAAGAUACAGAAUGUUUCUGUCCCUGCUAGGAUUCCUCAUUUGUCCUUUAAUAGUCACACCACUUUUCCCCCUUAACCCACCUUCUCCUCAAUCCCUGGAAACCACUAAUCUAUUCUGUAUUUCUAUAAAUUUUGUCCUCACAAGAAUGUUAUGUAUUUAUAUGUGGAAUCAUAUAGUGUAUAACCAUUUAGGAUUUACUUUUUUCAUUGUGCACAAUCCUCUGGGGGAACAAAGUGUUUAAAAGUAUGCAGAUCACUGUAAAUUGUUGAGAGCCACAGCUGAAGGCGCCCCAGCAAACUUCCAACUGAUUGGCUCACCAUGGCCCCAGCAAACUUCCAGCUGCCAGCUGAUUGGCUCCUCUGCAGUGAUGCUCAUUGGGCUGUUUCCCCGCCCUUUCAGACCACAGAGCUGCUCAUUGGGGGACUCUUUUGGCUCUGCCCACGCAACCCAGCCAAUCCCCCUCAAGAGCAGGAGGAGUGGGGGGUUGAGAGGCUCCUGUGAAGCUGGUGGUGGCAGUUGGGCUCUGAGGGAAUUCCUGAAGAGCUUGUGUUUUGUGGAGUUUGUGUUCUAAAAAUAAAGUUCGUUUCUGCUUGAUAAGUGGCUCAUGAAUUGUGCCCAGCCAGACUGCGGCAUUUGGUGGCCCCUACGGGAACGACUGAGGGUAAGUGAU